GCCUGGGUGGCUCAGUGGUUAAGCGUCUGACUUCGGCUCAGGUCAUGAUCUCAUGGUUCGUGAGUUCGAGCCCCACGUCGGGCU
rnacentral:tRNA from 1 species